rnacentral:rRNA from 1 species
GAAUCUACCAACAGGAUGGGGAUAACAGAGGGAAACCGCUGCUAAUACCCAAUGUGCCGAGAGGUGAAAGAUUAAUUACCUGUUGAGGAGCUCGCGUCCGAUUAGCUAGUUGGUGGGGUAAGAGCCUACCAAGGCAUCGAUCGGUAGCUGGUCUGAGAGGACGAUCAGCCACACUGGGACUGAGACACGGCCCAGACUCCUACGGGAGGCAGCAGUGGGGAAUUUUCCGCAAUGGGCGAAAGCCUGACGGAGCAAGACCGCGUGAGGGAGGAAGGCUCUUGGGUUGUAAACCUCUUUUCUCAGGGAAGAACAAAAUGACGGUACCUGAGGAAUCAGCCUCGGCUAACUCCGUGCCAGCAGCCGCGGUAAUACGGAGGAGGCAAGCGUUAUCCGGAAUUAUUGGGCGUAAAGCGUCCGCAGGUGGCACUUCAAGUCUGUCGUCAAAGACUGGGGCUUAACCCUGGAAAGGCGGUGGAAACUGAAGCGCUAGAGUGUGGUAGGGGUAGAGGGAAUUCCCGGUGUAGCGGUGAAAUGCGUAGAGAUCGGGAAGAACAUCGGUGGCGAAAGCGCUCUACUGGACCACAACUGACACUCAGGGACGAAAGCUAGGGGAGCG